CAAUCUUCAGUGUGUCAACAUGUCUUGUUCAUUUUCUGGACAUACCUUUGGAUCGUAUCUUUGGAUCAUAUUCUAAGGCAAACAUUUAAUACAGAUACAGCAGCGUCCCCAGGUGUGAAAUAAACCUAGGCCCACACACCUGGGUUGUCGUUUUCACCUAUACCAUAUCUCCAAUAAAUCAUCGGCCAUUGAAGAACAACAAAAGUAGCGUCUGUUGUCUGUGCGUGACUGACGCAGUCCUGCUACAUUGGAGCCCC